UACCUACUGGGGGUUGUGAUGCGGCUAU
rnacentral:sRNA from 1 species